rnacentral:rRNA from 1 species
UGGGGAAUUUUGGACAAUGGGCGCAAGCCUGAUCCAGCCAUGCCGCGUGCAGGAUGAAGGCCUUCGGGUUGUAAACUGCUUUUUGUACGGAACGAAAAGACUCUGGUUAAUACCUGGGGUCCAUGACGGUACCGUAAGAAUAAGCACCGGCUAACUACGUGCCAGCAGCCGCGGUAAUACGUAGGGUGCGAGCGUUAAUCGGAAUUACUGGGCGUAAAGCGUGCGCAGGCGGUUAUAUAAGACAGAUGUGAAAUCCCCGGGCUCAACCUGGGAACUGCAUUUGUGACUGUAUAGCUAGAGUACGGCAGAGGGGGAUGGAAUUCCGCGUGUAGCAGUGAAAUGCGUAGAUAUGCGGAGGAACACCGAUGGCGAAGGCAAUCCCCUGGGCCUGUACUGACGCUCAUGCACGAAAGCGUGGGUAGCGAACAGGAUUAGAUACCCCCGUAGUCCCUGAGCGGGCUGGCAAGGCGCAU